GGUGAAGCAGCAGCAACUGCAGUCCAUGGAGAAGGAUGACACUAUAUAAAAAGCAGCAGCGGGCACAGUUCAUCGGAUUAUUGGCAGAGAUCCUAAGAGGAUUUAAUACUUCUACGACUACAGAGAACGUACUUGGCUCAUCACCGGCAAGCUCUACAGACAAAGUGUCGCCAGGAUAACCCUGCGUGGAAAAUUCUGAGGUGGAAGGGAACCCGUAUUAAUUAGCUUGGAAGACGCCAAUCUCUUCACAAGUGUAAUGUGAGCCGUUUUAUUGGGGAAAAGUGAAACAAGCGUUACAUUGCUUUCGGUUAGCCCAGUAAAACAGAAGGUGAUCCA